rnacentral:rRNA from 1 species
AGAGCGAACGCUGGCGGCAGGCCUAACACAUGCAAGUCGAGCGCCCAGCAAUGGGAGCGGCAGACGGGAUAGUAACACGUGGGAACGUACCUUUCAGUUCGGAACAACCCAGGGAAACUUGGGCUAAUACCGAAUACGCCCGUAAGGGGAAAGAUUUAUCGCUGAAAGAUCGGCCCGCGUCUGAUUAGCUAGUUGGUGGGGUAAUGGCCCACCAAGGCGACGAUCAGUAGCUGGUCUGAGAGGACGAUCAGCCACACUGGGACUGAGACACGGCCCAGACUCCUACGGGAGGCAGCAGUGGGGAAUCUUGCGCAAUGCGCGAAAGCGUGACGCAGCAACGCCGCGUGGGGGAAGACGGCCUUCGGGUUGUAAACCCCUUUCAGGAGGGACGAAGGUUCGCCGGUGAAUAGCCGUGCGGAUUGACGGUACCUCCACAAGAAGCUCCGGCUAACUACGCGCCAGCAGCCGC